GACGAACGCUGGCGGCGUGCUUAACACAUGCAAGUCGAACGAUGAAGCCCAUCUUGCUGGGUGGAAGAGUGGCGAACGGGUGAGUAACACGUGAGUAACCUGCUCCUGACUCUGGGAUAAGCGCUAGAAGUGGCGUCUAAUACUGGAUAUGACCUAUCACCGCAUGGUGUGUAGGUGGAAAGAUUUAUCGGUUGGGGAUGGAGUCGCGGCCUAUCAGCUUGUUGGUGAGGUAAUGGCUCACCAAGGCGACGACGGGUAGCCGGCCUGAGAGGGUGACCGGCCACACUGGGACUGAGACACGGCCCAGACUCCUACGGGAGGCAGCAGUGGGGAAUAUUGCACAAUGGGCGCAAGCCGGGUGCAGCAACGCCGCGUGAGGGAUGACGGCCUUCGGGUUGUAAACCUCUUUUAGUAGGGAAGAAGCGCAAGUGACGGUACCUGCAGAAAAAGCACCGGCUAACUACGUGCCAGCCGCCGCCGUAA
rnacentral:rRNA from 1 species